rnacentral:snRNA from 1 species
AUACUUACCUGGCAAGGGAGAUACUGUGAUCAAGAAGGCAGUUCACGCAGGGCGAGGCUCAGCCAUUGCACUCUGGCUGUGCUGACCCCUGCGAAUUUCCCAAAUGUGGAAAUCUCGAUUGCAUAAUUUAUGGUAGUGGGGGACUGCGUUCGCGCUCUCCCCUG